CAAUUGUAUCGAAAAGAUUAAUACUUGAUUAUCAUAAUAAAAUGUGUUGUUUUUAUUGAAAAUUAUUAAAAGGACAAAUAAUUUUGCUUUUGUUUCAUUUAUUUCCCGACAAAGUUAUUUGCCAUAGGUUUCAUCUUUGAUGUGCGCCAAGUAAUAAGUAAGAGUGUGGUCAGCUUGGUAAAAUGUUUAUGUAAGAGACAUGAAGACAA
rnacentral:lncRNA from 1 species